AUUAUUUUGGUGAUCAUACUAUUGGAUUUUGGGUAAGAGUACUAAUUCAUCUUUUCUUUUCUUUUCUUUUUCUUUUUUUAUAAGAAAAAAUUGUCUUGUUAAUUAGGUAGGAGUUUAUAAUUGUUUUUAUUUUAUGAUUUAUGAUGAGGAGCUUUGUAAAAGUGAAUGAAAGUUCAAUAUAUAUAUAUGUACCUUUUUUAUUGAGCAACCACACUUUUGUACUGUUCUUAAAUCUUUUGGACUCC
rnacentral:lncRNA from 1 species